CACCGGCGGCCCGAGUGGUGGCCACUAUUAUUGGGUCUAAAGGGUCCGUAGCCGGUUUGAUCAGUCUUCCGGGAAAUCUGACAGCUCAACUGUUAGGCUUCCGGGGGAUACUGUCAGACUUGGGACCGGGAGAGGUAAGAGGUACUACAGGGGUAGGAGUGAAAUCUUGUAAUCCUUGUGGGACCACCAGUGGCGAAGGCGUCUUACCAGAACGGGUCCGACGGUGAGGGACGAAAGCUGGGGGCACGAACCGGAUUAGAUACCCGGGUAGUCCCAGCCGUAAAUGAUGCUCGCUAGGUGUCUGGGAUGGUGCGACCGUUUCAGGUGCCGCAGGGAAGCCGUGAAGCGAGCCACCUGGGAAGUACGGCCGCAAGGCUGAAACUUAAAGGAAUUGGCGGGGGAGCACUACAACGGGUGGAGCCUGCGGUUU
rnacentral:rRNA from 1 species